UUUCCGUAGGUGAACCUGCGGAAGGAUCAUUAAAGUUAUACUAACCCGGCCAUCUGGGUUGGGGUCCUCCUUACAACCCCUUGGUUUUUACACCUUUGUUGCUUUGGCAGGCCUGCCCUCGGCCUGCUGGCUCCGGCCGGCUCGCGUCUGCCAGAUGAACUAAACUCUGAUUUUAUAUAAAUUCUGAGUACUAUAUAAUAGUUAAAACUUUCAACAACGGAUCUCUUGGUUCUG
rnacentral:misc_RNA from 1 species